rnacentral:rRNA from 1 species
AACUUAAGCAUAUCAAUAAGCGGAGGAAAAGAAACCAACCGGGAUUGCCUCAGUAACGGCGAGUGAAGCGGCAAGAGCUCAAAUUUGAAAGCUGGCUCCUUCGGAGUCCGCAUUGUAAUUUGCAGAGGAUGCUUUGGGUGCGGCCCCCGUCUAAGUGCCCUGGAACGGGCCGUCAGAGAGGGUGAGAAUCCCGUCUUGGGCGGGGUGUCCGUGCCCGUGUAAAGCUCCUUCGACGAGUCGAGUUGUUUGGGAAUGCAGCUCUAAAUGGGUGGUAAAUUUCAUCUAAAGCUAAAUACUGGCCGGAGACCGAUAGCGCACAAGUAGAGUGAUCGAAAGAUGAAAAGCACUUUGAAAAGAGAGUUAAACAGCACGUGAAAUUGUUGAAAGGGAAGCGCUUGCGACCAGACUCGCCCGCGGGGUUCAGCCGGCAUUCGUGCCGGUGUACUUCCCCGUGGGCGGGCCAGCGUCGGUUUGGGCGGCCGGUCAAAGGCCCCUGGAAUGUAGUGCCCUCCGGGGCACCUUAUAGCCAGGGGUGCAAUGCGGCCAGCCUGGACCGAGGAACGCGCUUCGGCACGGACGCUGGCAUAAUGGUCGUAAACGACCCGUCUUGAAACACGGACCAAGGAGUCUAACAUCUACGCGAGUGUUCGGGUGUCAAACCCGUGCGCGCAGUGAAAGCGAACGGAGGUGGGAGCCCCCUUGCGGGGCGCACCAUCGACCGAUCCUGAUGUCUUCGGAUGGAUUUGAGUAAGAGCGUAGCUGUGGGGACCCGAAAGAUGGUGAACUAUGCCUGAAUAGGGCGAAGCCAGAGGAAACUCUGGUGGAGGCUCGCAGCGGUUCUGACGUGCAAAUCGAUCGUCAAAUUUGGGUAUAGGGGCGAAAGACUAAUCGAACCAUCUAGUAGCUGGUUCCUGCCGAAGUUUCCCUCAGGAUAGCAGUAACGCAAAAUCAGUUUUAUGAGGUAAAGCGAAUGAUUAGAGGCAUUGGGGUUGAAACAACCUUAACCUAUUCUCAAACUUUAAAUAUGUAAGAAGCCCUUGUUGCUUA